UACGAAGGGGGCUAGCGUUGCUCGGAAUCACUGGGCGUAAAGCGCACGUAGGCGGAUCUUUAAGUCAGGGGUGAAAUCCUGGAGCUCAACUCCAGAACUGCCUUUGAUACUGGGGAUCUCGAGUCCGGAAGAGGUGAGUGGAACUCCGAGUGUAGAGGUGAAAUUCGUAGAUAUUCGCAAGAACACCAGUGGCGAAGGCGGCUCACUGGCCCGGAACUGACGCUGAGGUGCGAAAGCGUGGGGAGCAAACAGGG
rnacentral:rRNA from 1 species